rnacentral:piRNA from 1 species
UGGAGACAUAAAUGGACUCUUUAUCCUUGC